CAAUAGCGUAUAUUAAAGUUGUUGCAGUUAAAAAGCUCGUAGUUGGAUUUGUGGUGUACUUUGGCGGCCCGUCACACUGUGAUGGAGCUUGCUGAAGUCGCCAUCCUUGGGUGGAUCCUGUGUGGCAUUAAGUUGUCGUGCAGGGGAUGCCCAUCGUUUACUGUGAAAAAAUUAGAGUGUUCAAAGCAGGCUUAUGCCGUUGAAUAUAUUAGCAUGGAAUAAUAAGAUAGGACCUUGGUACUAUUUUGUUGGUUUGCGCACCAAGGUAAUGAUUAAUAGGGACAGUUGGGGGUAUUCGUAUUUCAUUGUCAGAGGUGAAAUUCUUGGAUUUUUGAAAGACGAACUACUGCGAAAGCAUUUACCAAGGAUGUUUNCAUUAA
rnacentral:rRNA from 1 species